CCUACGGGGGGCUGCAGUGGGGAAUAUUGGACAAUGGGGGCAACCCUGAUCCAGCCAUGCCGCGUGUGUGAAGAAGGCCCUCGGGUUGUAAAGCACUUUCAGUGAGGAAGAACGCCUGGUGGUUAAUACCCAUCAGGAAAGACAUCACUCACAGAAGAAGCACCGGCUAACUCCGUGCCAGCAGCCGCGGUAAUACGGAGGGUGCGAGCGUUAAUCGGAAUUACUGGGCGUAAAGCGCGCGUAGGUGGCUUGAUAAGCCGGUUGUGAAAGCCCCGGGCUCAACCUGGGAACGGCAUCCGGAACUGUCAAGCUAGAGUGCAGGAGAGGAAGGUAGAAUUCCCGGUGUAGCGGUGAAAUGCGUAGAGAUCGGGAGGAAUACCAGUGGCGAAGGCGGCCUUCUGGACCGACACUGACACUGAGGUGCGAAAGCGUGGGUAGCAAACAGGAUUAGAUACCCUUGUAGUC
rnacentral:rRNA from 1 species